CGAGGAACCUUACCUAGGCUCUAAUGUUAGUGACCGGUACUGAAAGGUACUUUUUCCCGCGGACACGAAACAAGGUGCUGCAUGGUUGUCGUCAGCUCGUGCCGUGAGGUGUUGGGUUAAGUCCCGCAACGAGCGCAACCCUUAUCACUAGCUGCCAGCAUUAAGGUGGGGACUCUAGUGAGACUGCCAGCGUAAGCCGUGAGGAAGGUGGGGACGACGUCAAAUCAUCAUGGCCUUUAUGCCUAGGGCUACACACGUGCUACAAUGGCGAGUACAGAGGGUAGCGAAGCCGCAAGGUGGAGCCAAUCUCAUAAAACUCGUCCCAGUUCGGAUUGAAGUCUGGAACUCGACUUCAUGAAGGUGGAAUCGCUAGUAAUCGCGCAUCAGCCAUGGCGCGGUGAAUACGUUCCCGGACCUUGUACACACC
rnacentral:rRNA from 1 species